rnacentral:rRNA from 1 species
CCUACGGGCGGCUGCAGUGAGGAAUAUUGGUCAAUGGACGAGAGUCUGAACCAGCCAAGUAGCGUGAAGGAUGACUGCCCUAUGGGUUGUAAACUUCUUUUAUAAAGGAAUAAAACGAGGCACGUGUGCCUUUUUGCAUGUACUUUAUGAAUAAGGAUCGGCUAACUCCGUGCCAGCAGCCGCGGUAAUACGGAGGAUCCGAGCGUUAUCCGGAUUUAUUGGGUUUAAAGGGAGCGUAGAUGGGUUGUUAAGUCAGUUGCGAAAGUUUGGGGCUCAACCGUAAAAUUGCAAUUGAUACUGGCUGUCUUGAGUACAGUUGAGGUAUGCGGAAUGCGUGGUGUAGCGGUGAAAUGCUUAGAUAUCACGAAGAACCCCGAUUGCGAAGGCAGCUUACUAAACUGUGACUGACAUUGAUGCUCGAAAGUGUGGGUAUCAAACAGGAUUAGAUACCCGGGUAGUC